rnacentral:rRNA from 1 species
AAGGGCACCACAAGAACGCGUGGAGCAUGUGGCUUAAUUUGACUCAACGCGGGAAAUCUUACCGGGUCCGGACACACUGAGGAUUGACAGGCAAUAUUAAUACGUGUUCUUACACGCGUAUUAUGUUAAAUAUGCUAGUCCUUUCAUGAUUAUGUGAUAGGUGGUGCAUGGCCGUUCUUAGUUCGUGGAGUGAUCUGUCUGCUUAAUUGCGUUUCACUAAGGGCCUAUAAAUUUACGUGUGUUGCGGCUCUUUGACCCCUUUCUUUUUUACCGAAGAAAGCGCGCGUCUUAGUUUUGCUUUGCUCACACAAUUAGGUCCUGAAAGCAACGAACGUGACCGCAACCUCUUGUUGCCUUUAUACCAAACAUGUUUGCUAUUUUUAACGAUACGCAUUCAUGAAAAAAGGCUUUUUAAACUAGAGGGACCGCUGUUACUUUCUUAAACCAGAGGAAGGUUGCGGCAAUAACAGGUCUGUGAUGCCCUUAGAUGUUCCGGGCUGCACACGUGCUACAAUGAUUAUUGCAGUGAGCAUCUCAUUUUUACACACCGCAUGCGCGAGUCCAUUUAUUCACUUCGGUGUUUUAAAUGUGUAUCUCUGCGCGCGGUAAAGCCUGCUUCGAAAGUAAGUGGGUAAUCAAUUAGAAGUAAUGAUUUCCUUUUUUUAGCACACAUAUAUACGGCGUCUAUAUCCGGGUUACCUUGUUGUAACUUUUGUGUGUAUAGAUGUUUUUUCCGUAUGUGCGAUUGUCAAUUCAUGGUGGGGACAGACCAUUGUUAAUUGUUGGUCUCGGUCUUAACUAGGAAUGCCUUGUACGGGUCUUUGGUUCAACAAACCACCCGGAAUACGUCCCUGCCCUUUGUACACACCGCCCGUCGCUCUUACCGAUGGACUUCUCUGUGAGUUUGAGGGACUGGGAACGCAGAAUUUUAUUAUUCUACACACCUAUGGAAACUUAAACGAACAGUGUGGUCUAAAGGAAAGAGAAGUCGUAACAAGGCAUCGGUAGGUGAACCUGCAGAAGGAUCA